UGGCUCAGUUGAUAGAGCAUGGUGUUUGCAAUGCCAGGGUUGUGGGUUCAAUUCCCAC
rnacentral:tRNA from 1 species